AGUCACUGACAUUAGAUACCCGUGUAGUCCAGGGUGUAAACGCUGCAGACUUGGUGUUUGGGGGCCCUUUGGGGGCAUUCAGUGCCGGAGAGAAGUUGUUAAGUCUGCUACUUGGGAGUACGUCCGCAAGGAUGAAACUUAAAGGAAUUGGCGGGGAGCACCGCAACGGGAGGAGCGUGCGGUUUAAUUGGAUUCAACACCGUAAAACUCACCAGGGAAGACUGUUACAUGAAGGCCGAGAUGAAGACUCUGCUAGAUUUUCAG
rnacentral:rRNA from 1 species